AUACGUAGGGAGCAAGCGUUGUCCGGAUUUACUGGGUGUAAAGGGUGCGUAGGCGGCCGAGUAAGUCAGCUGUGAAAUCUAUGGGCUCAACCCAUAAACUGCAUUUGAAACUACCCGGCUUGAGUGAAGUAGAGGCAGGCGGAAUUCCCUGUGUAGCGGUGAAAUGCGUAGAGAUAGGGAGGAACACCAGUGGCGAAGGCGGCCUGCUGGGCUUUAACUGACGCUGAGGCACGAAAGCGUGGGUAGCAAACAGGAUUAGAUACCCUGGUAGUCCACGCUGUAAACGAUGAUUACUAGGUGUGGGGGGACUGACCCCUUCCGUGCCGGAGUAAACACAAUAAGUAAUCCACCUGGGGAGUACGGCCGCAAGGUUGAAACUCAAAGGAAUUGGCGGGG
rnacentral:rRNA from 1 species